GAUUACCCGCCGAACUUAAGCAUAUCACUAAGCGGAGGAAAAGAAACUAACCAGGAUUCCCCUAGUAACGGCGAGUGAAGAGGGAAUAGCCCAGCACCGAAGCCUGCGGUAGGUUUACUGCUAGGCAAUGUGGUGUUUGGGUCGACUCGCGGGAUUGCCACUCCACUCGAAGUCCAGCACUGAGUAUGGUUCCCUGGAUUUGGCCCAGAGAGGGUGAAAGGCCCGUGCGAGUGGAGGUUCAGACAUGUGAGGCAAUUCACCAGGUCGACCUUCGAGUCGGGGUGUUUGGGAAAUGCAGC
rnacentral:rRNA from 1 species